rnacentral:rRNA from 1 species
UACGUAGGGGGCUAGCGUUGUCCGGAAUCAUUGGGCGUAAAGAGCGUGUAGGCGGUCCGGUAAGUCCGCUGUGAAAGUCGGGGGCUCAACCCUCGAAUGCCGGUGGAUACUGUCGGGCUAGAGUGCGGAAGAGGCGAGUGGAAUUCCUGGUGUAGCGGUGAAAUGCGCAGAUAUCAGGAGGAACACCGGUGGCGAAGGCGGUGGUCUGGGCCUGAACUGACGCUGAGGAGCGAAAGCCAGGGGAGCAAACGGG